rnacentral:rRNA from 1 species
CCUACGGGUGGCAGCAGUGAGGAAUAUUGGUCAAUGGACGAGAGUCUGAACCAGCCAAGUAGCGUGAAGGAUGACGGUCCUCUGGAUUGUAAACCUCUUUAGGCGGGGAGCAAUGCCGGGCGCGCGUGCCCGGAGGGAGAGUACCCGCAGAAUAAGCAUCGGCUAACUCCGUGCCAGCAGCCGCGGUAAUACGGAGGAUGCGAGCGUUAUCCGGAGUUAUUGGGUUUAAAGGGUGCGUAGGCGGAUUUUUAAGUCAGCGGUAAAAUGUCCGGGCUCAACCCGGGCCGGCCGUUGAAACUGUGGAUCUUGAGUGGGCGAGAAGUAUGCGGAAUGCGUGGUGUAGCGGUGAAAUGCAUAGAUAUCACGCAGAACUCCGAUUGCGAAGGCAGCAUACCGGCGCCCGACUGACGCUGAGGCACGAAAGCGUGGGGAUCGAACAGGAUUAGAUACCCUUGUAGUC